rnacentral:tRNA from 1 species
AAAAUCCGUCGACUUUUUAAAUCGUGAGGGUUCAAGUCCCUCUAUCCCCAAUAAAGG